UUCCAUUAGUUCCAAGGCUUGCAAAGAAGGAGGAGUGCUUAGAGUUGUGCUAGCCAUUCCAUUGGAGUUGUUGGAGCAUUCUAGGUGUAUUCUACUUUGUUUCUCUAUGUUUAAUAUCAAUUGUUUUUGUUUAAUUGCAAGUAUGAGGAACUAAACCCUUACUUAGCUAGGGGGAAGUUCGAAGCCAUGAACAUGCUUGAGAUAUGAAUUGAUUUCUUCCAAUUGUGAUUUAAUAAGUUGUGAAUGCAAUUCAAUUAACUACUUUCUUCAAAACUAAUUCUUGUAUGUUGAUUAAGGAUGCAUACUUAGUUUUCAUGCAUGAAUUUGAUGCUAGGAUAUAAAUGAGUUUCACCUAAUCGUUACAAGUUUAUAUUCAUUGGUAGUGAAGGUUGCUAGUCACAAUCGCGUUAAUUGAAUUCUUGGCAAACGUAUCAUGCAUUCAUAGUUACGAAUGCCUCGUUAACACUUAUGAUUUUCAUAGAACGUAAUGAUCUUUGAUUGUAUCUCUAUUAUGCAUUCAUGUAGAGGACUUUUGGAGAAUACUUUGGAUUGUCGUAUGCAUUCAUCCAAUUCAAUAAAUCAAGGAAAAUCUGAGGAUUAAUUAGUGCAUCACGGUUAAUCUGGGGUGUUGAGUUUCAUAAUCUAUUGAAAAACAAUUGGAAAUCGAUUCAUGUACAAGUGUGUCAUGUGUGAAGAAUGGAUCUCUAGCUAAUCCAUCAACCGUAUAUUUAGUUUUACUUUUUGUUGUUAUCUCAAUCACAACCAAAACCAAUACCCCCCAUUUACUUUCUUGUAUCAAAGUGUGUUUAAGUUUGUUUUGAACUCUUUGAGUCUAGUUUAGUGUUUUAAAGCCUACUUUUGUGUUUUUAAGUUUCUUCUUAUAUUUUUGAGUCAAGUGAGAGGUUAUUAGCAAGCCCUCCUAAUCCCCGGUCCAGAACGAUCCCUACUUAUACAUAUACUACAAUUGUCAACAAGAGGGUUUAAUUUGUGUGCUUAACUUUAUUUCGCAUCAGCUUCAAUGCAGGGUAUACAAAUACCACCUCCGAACAACCGUCACUUCGACCCAUACAUGGAUUCAAUUUGAAGUCUCCAGCCAACAGACCCUAUUAACUGAAGACUUGGGGGAUUACAUUAUGUACCAUAUAUUGGGCCUCAGUUGGGCCUUAUGAAAAAUACUUGGGGGACUUAGCCUAUCACUUAUGUAUUGAGGAACGAGCCCUUAUUCUAUAAAAGGGACUCCAUCACUUUCAUUAGAGAGCACCCAUUAUUCAUGUACUGAGGAGCGAGCUCUUAUUCUAUAAAAUGGACUCCCUCACCAUCAUUAGAGAGCAUCGUCACCAGCUGAGCAACCGCUUCGCUGUGAGCAUCAACUUUAGCCCAUUAUUCAUGUACUGAUGAGCGAUCCCUUAUUCUAUAAAAAUGACUCCCUCACCAUCAUUAGAGAGCAUCGCCGCCAGCUGAGCAACCGUCUCGCCGCGAGCAUCAACUCUAGCCCAUCAUUUAUGUAUUGAGGAGCGAGUCCUUAUUCUAUAAAAGGGACUCUUUCACCAUCAUUAGAGAGCAUCGCCGCCUGCUGAGCAACCGUCUCAACGCAAGCAUCAACUCUUAGCCCAUCACUUAUGUAUUGAGGAGCGAGCCUUUAUUCUAUAAAAGGGACUCCCUCACCUUCAACGCCACAAGCCAAGCCAACCAAAGCAACAUAAGCCACAAACCGAGCAGCCUCGCAACAUGUGCUACUUUUAGUUGAGUAUGAUUUCAGAUUGAGCACCGCCUCAUAUCGAGCAUCAGUUCAAGAUAACAUCUAGUUACUUCGGCCCAAACAUGGACUGAAUUUCAAGUCUCCAGCCAAAAGACUCUCUUGACUGAAGACUUGGGGGACUACUGUUUGUACCAUACUUAGGGCCUCCGUAUUUAGAUCUCGUAUAAAUACUCGAGGGACUCAAAUGUAAUUAUGUAAUAAAAGAAUGGGCAAAUAUGUAAUAAGCGAGAAGCCCUUAUUCUAUAAAAUGACCUAUCACUCUUCUCAUUAAGGGAGACCAUUUCUUAGGCCAUGGGAAGAGCUCUCUCACCCUCAGAAGCUCUCACCCUCUCAUCCUCUCACAAACAGAGAACUAUAAUAAUCAGUGUGGACGUAGCCCAAACAUUGGGAUGAACCACGAUACAUCUUGUGUUAUUUACUUUCUUGCAGAUUCACGGUCGGAUUUACGUUGUCCCAAGACCCCUCCGGUUUUGUGCAUCAACAGAAACAAUAUGCAAUUUCCAAGACUUCUAUGUUAUUAUGAUUGCUCUGCCACUAACAUGAUGAGUCUUUUUAAGAACAUUAUCAUGCACUAAUCUUUGAUUUAGUGAGUGGAAAUCAUAAUGGUUCAUUUACCUUGAUUUAUGGUUGCUCUUAAUCUUUGUAAUGGACUUGAGAUAUAAUAUUUUUGUUUCUGGUGGAUUCCUCCUCCAUUGCUAGAUGCAUCUUAUUCAUUUUGUGUUGAAUGAAAAAGUUUGAUUCUUUUCAAAACCUUCAAGAUUUUGAACUUGGUAGCAUUGUUUAAGCGCUUAAUCAACCCUUGUUAAUGUUGAUGGAAAUUGGAAACAUAAUGAUCUAUUAUGGAAGCAUUCUUUUACUAAACUAUCUGACACAUAAAAAUGCUCUAUUCUCACAAUCACAACUUUUGUUUUCUUAAUAGACUGUAUGGCAACAUAAGCAUUUUACGUUAAGAAACUAUAUAAGAAUCAAAACUAUUGACGAAGUUAAGUCUUAUCUGAAUGUGUACUACAACUUCAAUAGGGCAACAUAUAAAUUUGACAAAAACACAAUACACAUGAUCAAGUUUGCUACAUAAACAAAAGACACGAUAAAAUUAGCUUGACGUCGAUUGGGAAAUGAUUGCACAUAUUGGUAUAUAUGAAGUUAAAGGCUCAAAAUAAAUUGCAUUGGUGGCUCAAAAUAGAUUGCAAAAACGCACAUGACAUAUUUGUAUGUAUGACAGAUUGGUAUUAACGAAAUUGGGUUGACAAUAAAUUUUAGCCCAAAUGCCCAAUAUGUCAAGUUUCAGCCUAAUAGCCCAAAAACCUAAAACUAUUUCAGAAUUCCCAAUUUGUCCUGAAAUUCCGAAACUAUUUUGGGAUUCCCUAAAUUUGGGAUUCCUCAAAUUUGGUUUGGGAUCGGUCUUGAAAUUGGAAUUUUUGAAAACUUUGGUUUGAGAAUCGGGACAUGGUUUUUGGUUCGGUAUCUCAUACCGAACCAGCCUUAUAGAAGACAUAUGUUUGUCCAUAAUGGCACCAAGCUCCUCUCUCCCCUCUUCCCAUGGCUCAUUCUACUAACCCUCUUCCUCAUUUUCCUCUACUCCUAUUCCUUCCCUUCCACACACCCUCUCUACCAACCUCUCUCUCCAAAAGAAUCCCCACUUUCCCCUUCUGCAAUUUCUUCAAAGGCCACUAGAUCCACAACCCCAACCGCAAACCCAUGUAUGAUGAG
rnacentral:lncRNA from 1 species